GCAUUGGUGGUUCAAUGGUAGAGUUCUUACUUCCCACGUGGGGGACUCAGAUUCGAUUCCUGGCCAAUGGA
rnacentral:tRNA from 1 species